rnacentral:tRNA from 1 species
CCCUUGGUAGCUCAGUUGGAAGAGCGUAAGACUGCAAUAAUUCCAAGGUCAAUAGUUCGAACCUGUUUCGAAGGA